rnacentral:rRNA from 1 species
GAUGAACGCUGGCGGCGUGCCUAAUACAUGCAAGUCGAGCGAACGGACGAGAAGCUUGCUUCUCUGAUGUUAGCGGCGGACGGGUGAGUAACACGGGGAUAACCUACCUAUAAGACUGGGAUAACUUCGGGAAACCGGAGCUAAUACCGGAUAAUAUUUUGAACCGCAUGGUUCAAAAGUAAAAGACGGUCUUGCUGUCACUUAUAGAUGGAUCCGCGCUGCAUUAGCUAGUUGGUAAGGUAACGGCUUACCAAGGCAACGAUGCAUAGCCGACCUGAGAGGGUGAUCGGCCACACUGGAACUGAGACACGGUCCAGACUACUACGGGAGGCAGCAGUAGGGAAUCUUCCGCAAUGGGCGAAAGCCUGACGGAGCAACGCCGCGUGAGUGAUGAAGGUCUUCGGAUCGUAAAACUCUGUUAUUAGGGAAGAACAUAUGUGUAAGUAACUGUGCACAUCUUGACGGUACCUAAUCAGAAAGCCACGGCUAACUACGUG